rnacentral:lncRNA from 1 species
GUAACAUGGGGCUGAUAACUGCCUAACAAAGUUGCUGGGAGGAUCAACUGGGCAAUGAAUACAGAGCACUUAUCAUAAUACGGAGCACAAGUGGGCACCAGGUUUUUUUGAAGACUUGCUUUCCACAUUCAGAUCCUCCUCACACCAAGAAUUGGGUUUAUCAUAGCUGAAAUAAAUGUGCUUCCUGCCUGCCAUGCCAUGAGCUUUCUCCUCUGCUAUGCCACCCUGCCUUGAAGCCAACUGAUUGUGGACUGAAACCGCUACAAACUCUGACCCAAAGUAAACCUUUCCUCCUUUAAAUUGUGGGUAUUGGGUAUUUUGUCUCAGCGUUAAGUAAGACAGUCAUAUUUGGA